rnacentral:rRNA from 1 species
AUUCCAGCUCCAAUAGCGUAUAUUUUAGUUGUUGCAGUUAAAAAGCUCGUAGUAGAAUUUCUGGUGGGGGAAUGCAGUUCAAGCUAUGCUUGAUACUCGCACUCUCCGGCCAUCUUUGAGUGGAGCCUGUCUGGCAUUAAGUUGUCGGGCUGGGGAUGCUCAUCGUUUACUGUGAAAAAAUUAGAGUGUUCAAAGCAGACUUAUGUCGUUGAAUAUAUUAGCAUGGGAUAAUAAGAUAAGACUUCGGUACUAUUUAGUUGGUUAGGUGCCGUUGUAAUGAUGAACAGGGACAGUUGUGGGUAUUCGUAUUCACUUAUAAGAGGUGAAAUUCUUAGAUUAAGGGAAGACGAACUACUGCGAAAGUAUUUACCAAGGAUGUUUUCAUUG